rnacentral:lncRNA from 1 species
UAAGCUCCAGCCAAUGAUUUACAUUCACCCUAAAAAUCCCUUCCUACUCUCCAAGGUUUAUAUAGCUCUUGUUCACCCCAAAUAAAGAGCACAAGCAGUUUCAUUUAAUAUCAUCUAAAAGAGCUGUAACAUUGAAAUCCUCAGAAAAGACACCCCCACUCCCACCCAACUCCCCAGCUCUCACUGCUUGAACCAAGAUCUGCCUGAACUCCAAGAGAAGAAGCAGAACUCAGAACUAUAGUCAUCUUUAAAGAUCUUCUUCCCUGACCUCCAACCCCAGACAGAGACUCUCUGUGUCCCUGGUUAUCCUGGAACUCUAUAGACCAGACUGGCCUCAAACUCAGAGACCUACCUGCCUCUGCCUUCGAGUGCUGGAAUUAAAGGCAUGGUGGCGCACGCCUUUAAUCCCAGCACUCUGGGAUUAAAGUUCAGAGUGCAGAGGCAGAGGCAGGUGAAUUUCUGAGUUCGAGGUCCAGGACAGCCAGGGCUAUACAGAAAAACCCUG